rnacentral:rRNA from 1 species
GAUGAACGCUGGCGGCGUGCCUAAUACAUGCAAGUCGAGCGAACAGACGAGGAGCUUGCUCCUCUGACGUUAGCGGCGGACGGGUGAGUAACACGUGGAUAACCUACCUAUAAGACUGGGAUAACUUCGGGAAACCGGAGCUAAUACCGGAUAAUAUAUUGAACCGCAUGGUUCAAUAGUGAAAGACGGUUUUGCUGUCACUUAUAGAUGGAUCCGCGCCGCAUUAGCUAUUUGGUAAGGUAACGGCUUACCAAGGCAACGAUGCGUAGCCGACCUGAGAGGGUGAUCGGCCACACUGGAACUGAGACACGGUCCAGACUCCUACGGGAGGCAGCAGUAGGGAAUAUUCCGCAAUGGGCGAAAGCCUGACGGAGCAACGCCGCGUGAGUGAUGAAGGUCUUCGGAUCGUAAAACUCUGUUAUUAGGGAAGAACAAAUGUGUAAGUAACUAUGCACGUCUUGACGGUACCUAAUCAGAAAGCCACGGCUAACUACGUG